CAACACCAGGUGUUAAACACCUGACAGAAUGACAAAGAUCUAUGUAGAUGAAGCGGAAUGCUUGUCGGGCUAACUGGUAGCACAAUGAGUAAAACGAACGGAAAAUCCAAUUACCAGAUCCGUACACGGACCCACCACACACACCUUUGACACACUUCCACACAUUAGUUGAGGAGCCGCGAAAACCUGGUCGAGCCAAACUAUUUUACAUCUGGAGCAAAGCUCUCCAGCAAACUACAGCGUCGGAUGAAGAGUCCAGCCACUCGUCUGGCCCGGUUCUGCCACCAGCGCGGAUGAAGCCGAUCUUAUCGAAGGAAUUGAUCAUCCCAGUGACAUCAUUUACAAUGUUGGGAAGGAGGAGGAGGAGGAAGAGGAGAGAAUGGAGGUCUCCUGCUGUCCUGGUACCCAGCGAGAGGUAGAGGGACAGACCGGCCUCCAGCCAGGAGACGCUGCAGCAGCCGCUCCACCAGCGAGCGCUCCGGGCCAGAGGCGCUCCCUACAGCUGGCUGGAAAACUGAGAAGGAACCUGACAGCUUACCUUCUCUGCCACAUUUCCUGCCUGCCGAAAAGGAGGCCAGGUGUCCAGCCACCUCUGUCAGAAUAUGUGGACAGCCCUUCUCCAUCAGACCUGUCCAAGUACUUGGACCAGGAGACCAUCAAAAUACUGUUUCUGAUUCAACUCAGUAACAACGAUUUUCUUUUAUUUUCAAAUGCACUUUUUAUGGUCUGACCAUGGUUUUGUACAUAAAAUAUGUGUGUUCAUAAGUAUCUGGCACACUUAAAAUUUGAUUGCACUAUUGUAAAUCAUUUGUUUUGAUGCUGACGUUGUCUCUGCAAAUUUUUGUUUAUUUUCGUUUUUUUUUACAGGUUACAAAAUUGACCAUAUCUCAAAAAGCAAAUUAUGUACAGACUCCAAAUAAAUGUCUUGUGGUUCCAAAGGAUAUUGUGCAACUUUUUUACAUUUACAAAUUUGAGGGAUACAGCUAUGCAGUUUCUGUAUUUUGAAAUAUAUGUGAAAAAAAC